rnacentral:rRNA from 1 species
GGAUACUGGCCAUACCUCUCUGGGCUGUGAUCUUAUUAGAUUUCAUAACUAAUCAGGGUUGGGAUGAGUCAUUACUUGAUACAGGAGACCUCCAAGGCAAAUCUAUCUGUUGUAGGCA